rnacentral:misc_RNA from 1 species
AAGUCGUAACAAGGUUUCCGUAGGUGAACCUGCGGAAGGAUCAUUACCGAGUACCGGGUCUCUCAGGCCCUUACUCCCACCCUUUGUGUACCAACAUAACUUCAGUUGCCUUGGCGGGUCCGACCCCCGGGACCUCACCGGUCCUCGGGCGGCCGCCCGCCAGGGGAACCCCCCAAAACUCUCAUGAAUUGGGUUGUCUGAGUACAAAACAAAUAAAUUAAAACUUUCAACAACGGAUCUCUUGGUUCUG